rfam:Erinaceus europaeus unplaced genomic scaffold scaffold00463, whole genome shotgun sequence
AUAUUUACCUGGCAGGGGAGGUACCUUGACCAGCAAUGUGGCUUUUCUCAGGGCGAGGCUUAUCCAUUCCACAGGGGGUGUGCUGAUUCCUGCGAUUUCCCCAAGUGUGGGAAACUCGACUGCAUAAUUUGUGGUAGUGGGUGACUACGUUCGCAUUCUCCCCUG